AGAAGAGGAAGGAGAGAAGACGAGGGAGAGAAGACGAGGGAGAGAAGACGAGGGAGAGAAGACGAGGGAGAGAAGACGAGGGAGAGAAGACGAGGGAGAGAGUUAAGGCUUCAGUUGGGCUGAACGAGUGUGUGCUCAUGCUCCCUAAAAAGACAGUCACUUGACAUACAAAAAAAAAGGGGGAAAGCGGCAAUAUUACUCCUGGACAAUAGAGGGCGAUGAGCUGGUAAUAGCCAUCUACGGCCAAACAAUGAAGUGACGACACACCCAAACAAGAAGAGACGCGAGGGAGAAUACAAUAGUGUACACAGAGAGACACUUGACUGGCGAGAAAAUUGAAGUUGUGCGAAUUGCCUGGGAUCUACUAGAUUUGAUGUACCCAGCAACACAUAUAAAAGACAAGAGACAGAGAUGGAGAAGAUGCCCGCUACAGGUUCACAAUGGUGGAUGUAGGGGCAUACGGACGAGCGAGCUAUGGUGGAUGUAGGGGCAUACGGACGAGAGAGCUAUGGUGGAUGUAGGGGCAUACGGACAAGAGAGAGCUAUGGUGGAGUGUAGGGGCAUACGGCCGAGAGAGCUAUGGUGGAUGUAGGGGCAUACGGACGAGAGAGCUAUGGUGGAGUGUAGGGGCAUACGGACGAGAGAGCUAUGGUGGAGUGUAGGGGCAUACGGCCGAGAGAGCUAUGGUGGAGGUAGGGGCAUACGGACGAGAGAGCUAUGGUGGAUGUAGGGGCAUACGGCCGAAAGAGCUAUGGUGGAGGUAGGGGCAUACGUCCGAGAGAGCAAUGGUGGAUGUAGGGGCAUACGGACGAGAGAGCUAUGGUGGAGAUAGGGGCAUACGGACGAGAGAGCUAUGGUGGAUGUAGGGGCAUACGUCCGAGAGAGCAAUGGUGGAUGUAGGGGCAUACGGACGAGAGAGCUAUGGUGGAGAUAGGGGCAUACGGACGAGAGAGCUAUGGUGGAUGUAGGGGCAUAAGGACGAGAGAGCUAUGGUGGAUGUAGGGGCAUAUGGCCGAGAGAGCUAUGGUGGAUGUAGGGGCAUACGGACGAGAGAGCUAUGGUGGAUGUAGGGGCAUACGGCCGAGAGAGCUAUGGUGGAGUGUAGGGGCAUACGGCCGAGAGAGCUAUGGUGGAGGUAGGGGCAUACGGACGAGAGAGCUAUGGUGGAGUGUAGGGGCAUACGGACGAGAGAGCUAUGGUGGAGGUAGGGGCAUACGGACGAGAGAGCUAUGGUGGAUGUAGGGGCAUACGGCCGAGAAAGCUAUGGUGGAUGUAGGGGCAUACGGACGAGAGAGCUAUGGUGGAUGUAGGGGCAUACGGACGAGAGAGCUAUGGUGGAUGUAGGGGCAUACGGCCGAGAAAGCUAUGGUGGAUGUAGGGGCAUACGGACGAGAGAGCUAUGGUGGAUGUAGGGGCAUACGGACGAGAGAGCUAUGGUGGAGUGUAGGGGCAUACGGAAGAGAGAGCUAUGGUGGAUGUAGGGGCAUACGGACGAGAGAGCUAUGGUGGAUGUAGGGGCAUACGGACGAGAGAGCUAUGGUGGAUGUAGUGAUGACAUUUAAAUUAUCAUUAAAACCGUGUUUGAUUACCGCGGGUUGAAAAACUGUCCAGCAUCAACCAAAGUUAUCAACAGUCUGACGCAGGCGUGGCAUGCAACGUGGGUUUUGUUUUGUGUGAAAACAUGGCGGAAGGCAGUGACAGCGCUCAGGAGAUUUUUCAGCCUUCUAAGAGGACCAAAUCUGAAGUGUGGUUGUAUUUUGGGUUUUACAAGAGUGCUGAGGGAAACUUAAUUGAAGAUGGUCACCCUGUCUGCAGAACAAAAAAGAAAUAGCUGCGAAAGGUGGCAACAUUUCAAAUCUCUUGAGUCAUCUUCGUGAUCACCAACCACUGCUUUAUAGCGAAUGCAAGGUAAGUCAACUUUUACCUCAAUGCAUGAUGUCUAACUUGCUAAUAGCUUGUCAAUAAUGUAAACUGAAGCUUUCAGUGUUACCUACUGUUGUAAAAACACUACACGUUGUUCUGCUGCUGUAUGGGUCGUGUGUCUGCAGACUCUAUUCACCCAUUGCACACGAGAACACGUUAUGUAGUUUAGUCACCCAACCAACAUAUUUUGUUCAUUUAAAAUCCGUCAGAUGUCGAAUUGGUUGUAAAAGUGUUCCAACAGGAGAAACACUAUAUACUCCUAUAUAAGACUCUUGUAUUUAUGUCAAUUGUUGGGCUCAUUGCAAUUACUAUCACUGUCUUCUUAAGACUCAUUUGUAUUUAUGUCAAUUGUGCAUGGGGUCAUUGCAUAUACUCAAAUGCAACACAGAAGUAAGACUGUGUGUUUGAAUAGUAAUAAUAAUUAUAAUGUGGUAACACCAAUAAUAAUAAUAAUACUACAUUUGCUAUUUCCUUGUUUACAGAGUGGGCGAGCAGCAGGCAAACCCAGUGAUGCUACUGGUCCCUCCUCAUCUACAGUUGUGACACAGACACUCCAGCAAGCAUUUAAAAAGGCAGGCUGCUUAUGCACCCACAUCUAAAAAUACUCAAGAUCUCACUGCAGCCCUUUCAUAUUACAUUGCAAAGGACAUGAUGUCAUUUCAAAUUGUUGAGAGGCCUGAGGCUGAUGUUUGCCGUGCCUCAUUACAAAGUGAGUGCUGCUAAUUUAGUUUGUUGUUUGUUUAUUUGUUUUGCUUACUUAAGGUUGUGUUCAUUUAAACCUGCACUAGGGAAGAUUUUACCAUUCUUGGCCACAUGGCGCCAUCUUUAAUGUUCAUGUUAUUAUUUUAAUGUUUAUGCACACAAAAAGUACAUAGUGCUGCUAAUUUUAUUUGUUGUUUGUUGGUUUUCAUAUAAAACUUGGUCAAAUGAUUUCAGUGCGUGUAUCAGUACUUUUUGAACAUUUCCAGCACGUUUUAACAAUACCGCGAUAAUACUGAUAACCGUGAUCAUUUUGGUCACUAUAAUCGUGAUAUGACAAUUUCAUACCGUUUCAUCUCUAGUGGAGUGUUUCAAGAGAGUUCUUAUGGGUCCAAAUUGCUGCAGAAGACCCUAGAUCUGUCCUGCCAGGUACCACAACGGCAAGUCCUCAUGUUUUCCAGGAAGAUGCAGCUUUCCCCCUACAUGAGAACCUCAUGCUUCCUUAUCCAGCUGUCCAUCUCCAUAAGCAUGGGCAUACCUGGAACUACUACCACUCUCAUUGUCGGCCAGUCAGAGAAUGCGUUAGGCAUCUUGGCUGAAAGGAUGAGGACGAUUCUUGGAUGCACAGACUCUGAUUCACAGUGCACACAAAGGACCAAGUAUUUUGUACUAAAAUGUAGACUUUUAAUCUUGUUAAUAAAAUGAAACCUGAUUCUG